GUCUAAUUAGUAUAAUAAGUAUGUUUUAUUUCCAGUUAAGAGGUUUUUUAAUUAGAUA
rnacentral:tRNA from 1 species